rnacentral:rRNA from 1 species
GACGAACGCUGGCGGCGUGCUUAACACAUGCAAGUCGAACGGAAAGGCCCUGCUUUUGUGGGGUGCUCGAGUGGCGAACGGGUGAGUAACACGUGAGUAACCUGCCCUUGACUUUGGGAUAACUUCAGGAAACUGGGGCUAAUACCGGAUAGGAGCUCCUGCUGCAUGGUGGGGGUUGGAAAGUUUCGGCGGUUGGGGAUGGACUCGCGGCUUAUCAGCUUGUUGGUGGGGUAGUGGCUUACCAAGGCUUUGACGGGUAGCCGGCCUGAGAGGGUGACCGGCCACAGUGGGGCUGAGAUACGGACCAGAAUCCUACGGGAGGCAGCAGUGGGGAAUAUUGCACAAUGGGCGGAAGCCUGAUGCAGAAACGCCGCGUGCGGGAUGACGGCCUUCGGGUUGUAAACAGCUUUCGCCUGUGACGAAGCGUGAGUGACGGUAAUGGGUAAAGAAGCACCGGCUAACUACGUG